GCCGGGCAUGGUGGUGCACGCCUGUAAUCCCAGCAGCUCGGGAGGCUGAGGCAGGAGGAUUGGGAGGUCAAAGCCAGCCUCAGCAAAAAGUGAGGUGCUAAGCAACUCAGCAAGACUCUGUCUCUA
rnacentral:sRNA from 1 species